UUGCGAAGGAGAUCAUUCAAUUGAACCUGCUCCCUUCAGCUCCGCUCUGGUAAAAAUAUAUUAAGCAAAAUCAAUGAUGGCGAAAAGAGUUUCAGGAUUAGAGCAUAUUAUAUUGAUAAGUAAUUAUGCAAAUAAUGUGUAUCAGAAUACGGUUGAUCACGCCUGUAUUGGUCGAAAUCUGAUCGUUACGGUCGAUCCAACCGACAUCCCGUCCAAGCGGCGAGGCAGCGAAAGACAACAUGGUUUAUUCCAAAUCCCGUACUUUCAAUAUCCGCCAAGUCAAAAAACAACGUUCAGGGGACGACAAAUGCGGGCGUAGAAUGAAAGAGUAUCAAACCAAACACAUAGCAAAGAUUCCAUAGCUAUAUAUAUAUGAGGGAAAACCUUCUGAAAAAGGGGGCUGCUCUCUCUCUUUCCUCUCCUCUGUAACCUUCAUAGUAGAAGGAAGAACAAAGCAAUCUCCAAGAGAAUAUGUAAAAUGGUUUCCUCCACCGAUGAAUGGGAGACAAAAUGAAAAAGUAUCAAUAAGAUUGAUUACCUCCAUCUCAUCUUAUGCAUUAUUUUCCGAUUAGUUCAUAGAUCUGGAGUUUAUUAUGUUUAACUAAGAUUUACCCCUUUAUUGUUUCUAUUGAUUUAAUUGAAAAGGUUUCAAUA
rnacentral:lncRNA from 1 species